GGGUUGUGAGGUUAAGCGACUAAGCGUACACGGUGGAUGCCCUGGCAGUCAGAGGCGAUGAAGGGCGUGCUAAUCUGCGAUAAGCGCCGGUAAGGUGAUAUGAACCGUUAUAACCGGCGAUACCCGAAUGGGGAAACCCAGUGUGACUCGUCACACUAUCAUUAACUGAAUCCAUAGGUUAAUGAGGCGAACCGGGGGAACUGAAACAUCUAAGUACCCCGAGGAAAAGAAAUCAACCGAGAUUCCCCCAGUAGCGGCGAGCGAACGGGGAGGAGCCCAGAGCCUGAAUCAGCAUGUGUGUUAGUGGAAGCGUCUGGAAAGGCGCGCGAUACAGGGUGAUAGCCCCGUACACAAAAGCGCAUGUGUUGUGAGCUCGAUGAGUAGGGCGGGACACGUGGUA
rnacentral:rRNA from 1 species